AGGAAAAGAAACUAACAAGGAUUCCCCUAGUAACGGCGAGUGAAGCGGGAAGAGCUCAAAUUUGUAAUCUGGCACUUUCAGUGUCCGAGUUGUAAUCUCGAGAAGUAUUUUCCGCGCCGGACCGCAUACAAGUCUGUUGGAAUACAGCGUCAUAGUGGUGAGAACCCCGUAACUGAUGCGGAUGCCCGGUGCUUUGUGAUAUACUUUCGAAGAGUCGAGUUGUUUGGGAAUGCAGCUCAAAUUGGGUGGUAAAUUCCAUCUAAAGCUAAAUAUUGGAGCAAGACCGAUAGCGAACAAGUACCGUGAGGGAAAGAUGAAAAGCACUUUGGAAAGAGAGUUAACAGUACGUGAAAUUGUUGGAAGGGAAACGCUUGAAGUCAGACUUGCUAUUCGGAGUUCAGCCGCAAGGUGUAUUCUUCGAUUUGCAGGCCAGCAUCAGUUUUUGGGGGUGGAAAAUCGUGGUUUGAAGGUAGCAGUUUCGGCUGUGUUAUAGCUUUCCACUGGAUUCAUCUUCGGGGACUGAGGAACGCAGUACGCUUUUUGCAAGGCUUUCGAGCUUUUCGUACUUAGGAUGCUGGUGGAAUGGCUUUAAACGACCCGUCUUGAACACGGA
rnacentral:rRNA from 1 species